AACGAACGCUGGCGGCAUGCCUAACACAUGCAAGUCGAACGAGACCUUCUGGUCUAGUGGCGCACGGGUGCGUAACGGGUGGGAACCUGCCUGUACGUUCGGAAUAACUCAGAGAAGUUUGAUCUAAUACCGGAUGAUGUCUUCGGACCAAAGAUUUAUCGCCUUUAGAUGGGCCCGCGUUGGAUUAGCUAGUUGGUGGGGUAAAGGCCUACCAAGGCGACGAUCCAUAGCUGGUCUGAGAGGAUGAUCAGCCACACUGGGACUGAGACACGGCCCAGCAUCCUAAGGGAGGCAGAAGGGGGGAAGAUUGGACAAUGCGCGAAAGCAUGAUCCACCCCCCCAGCGUCAGUGAUGAAGGCCUUACGGUUGUAAAGCUCUUUUACCCGAGAUGGGAAUGACAGUAGCGGGAGAAGAAGCUCCGGCUAACUACGUG
rnacentral:rRNA from 1 species